UUUUCGGACUACUAAUCUACUAUCAAUAAAUACCGCGGACGUAAGAAUUGGAUCCCAUUCAUGAACACCUGGACUUCACAAACAAAAAAAAGUUUGCCGACUUCCACUCCCUGCUAUACUGUACCUGAGCCUGCAUUUUCUUAUCUUUCCUCACACCUCCGUUCAACACACACCGCCAGUCGCCGCAACUCCACCGUCGGCGGUCGGUCCAUUUUUUUUCUCUAUCGAUGCUUCUGAGUUAGUAAAAUAUCUUUCGAUGAGGCUGAUCAAAAGGGUUUUCCCUUCAAACCCUCUCUUGUUCAGAUUACUCUCAUCUUAUUCCCAUUAUUCUACUUAUUCCUCCUCUUUCUCCAUUUUCAACCCUAAUUCACUGCCACUGUCUUCUUCUUCUUUUGCUUCCUCCUCCAACUUCGACUUGUUCAGUAAUCCAUGGUCCACACUUCAAUCCCGCGGAAUCAAAGUCUCAGCUUCUGAUGUUAGAGUCGGGAACAUCAUUGAAAAGCAAGGGCGCUUUUUUGAGGUUCUUAAAGCUGAUCAUUCUCAUGAAGGAAGAGGAAAAGCUACAAUAAAGGUGGAGCUUCGUGACAUUGCCCAGGGGAACAAGGUAACACAUCGAAUGAAUACAGAUGACAAUAUUGAAAGAGCUUUUGUUAAUGAAAAGACCUUCAUGUAUAUGUGCAUGGAUCAUGAUGGAACUGUAGUUCUAAUGGACCCUAAUACCUUUGAUCAGAUAGAAGUUUCCAGAGACUUGUUCGGCAAAAAUGCUUCGUAUCUACAAGUUAUUGUAGUCUUUGGGCAGUCAUCAGGUAGCAAUGGUGAAAUGAAAGUUAAGGUGCAAUUUUUUGAUGAGAAACCUUUAUCUGCAUCAGUUCCUAAACGGGUAACAUGUACUGUGAAAGAAGGUAUUGCAGCCACUCCAAGGAACAAAAAGGUGGUACUGGAGAAUGGCAUUAUAGUUGAAGUUCCACCACACAUUGUUGCUGGUGAUGCUAUAGUUAUUAAUACAGAGGAUGACUCUUACUUGGAAAGGUUGGAUACCUGCAGGUUGCUAUAGUUGGAGUUAGGGUUGGGUUCAAACCCUACCCUACCCUACCCUACCCAUUGCUAAUAAGAGGGCCAAAGCAUAGCAACUCCAAUGACGAUUUGAGAAGAGACCUGCAUAAUACAAACAUCCGUCAUACAGUGCUGGUGUGGAGUUUUGAAUUGGAUAAUGUGACUUACAGGAAGAGUAUUCUAUUCAUUUUUUCUCAUUUAACCCCCGUUGAUAAUAAGCUGGUCUCGAUUUAGUAGCUGGUAUUUUAAAUUGGUUUUCAUGCUUAUUCUGAUUGUUGGUUCAGUUAUUGAGGAAGGAAGCUCUGGAAAACUUGGAUUACAGUAAACCACUUGAGAAAGUUCUAAGUUUAAUUUUCUUUGUGCCUAUGAGGUUAAGUAGGCUAGCAAUAAAAUAACGGAUUUUUGUUUAAGAUCUGAACCCGAGAUGGCAUGAUUUUUAUUUUUAUUUUAUUUUUUUA